rnacentral:rRNA from 1 species
AACGAACGCUGGCGGCAGGCCUAACACAUGCAAGUCGAGCGAGAUCUUCGGGUCUAGCGGCGGACGGGUGAGUAACGCGUGGGAAUAUGCCUCUUGGUACGGAAUAGCCUCGGGAAACUGGGAGUAAUACCGUAUGUGCCCUUUGGGGGAAAGAUUUAUCGCCAAGAGAUUAGCCCGCGUUGGAUUAGGUAGUUGGUGGGGUAAUGGCCUACCAAGCCGACGAUCCAUAGCUGGUUUGAGAGGAUGAUCAGCCACACUGGGACUGAGACAUGGCCCAGACUCCGGGAGGCAGCAGUGGGGAAUCUUAGACAAUGGGGGCAACCCUGAUCUAGCCAUGCCGCGUGAGUGAUGAAGGCCUUAGGGUUGUAAAGCUCUUUCAGCUGGGAAGAUAAUGACGGUACCAGCAGAAGAAGCCCCGGCUAACUCCGUG